AUAGCUGAUUGCACCAACAAAUAGUUGAUGCAAUAUUGACUCUGUCAAAUAAAAUUCUAGGUAGAAUUAUGAUAAUGACAUUGUCUGCCUAUAUGUCUUGACCAAAUUACGUGCCAGCAGUCGCGGUAAUACGUAGAAGACUAGUGUUAUUCAUCUUUAAUAGGUUUAAAGGGUACCUAGACGGUAAAUCAAGCCUUCACAGGGACUAAUUUACUAGAGUUACUUACGAGGGGGUAUUAAAGUACUGCAGGUGUAGAGAUGAAAUUCUGUCAUACCUCUUUUCAAAAGAAAAAUUAUGGCACAGGUAUAGGUGAAAGCAUCCCCUUAUGUGAUAACUGACGUUGAAGGACGAAGGCUUUGUGUCGCGAACAGGAUUAGAUACCCCAGUAGUCAAAGCAGAAAAUGAUGAAUGUCAUAGAUUAGAUAAAUAGUUUAUUCUAUAAAUGAAAAUGUAAGCAUUCCACCUCAAGAGUAAUUUGGCAACAUUGGAACUGAAAUCAUUAGACCGUUUCUGAAACCAGUAGUGAAGUAUGUUGUUUAAUUUGAUGAUCCGCAAAAAACCUUACCACAAUUUGAAUAUUUAUAUCCAUCUUUUUUUUUCGUAAAAAAAUAAAAAGGUAAUAUAUUUACAAGCGUUGCACGGCUGUCUUCAGUUAAUGUCGCGAGACUUUGGUUAGUUCCAUUAAAUUAACGUAAACCCUUACUUUAUUUUUAUAUGAAGUAGUUCCCCGCUAUAUUGGAUAUGAUAACAGGGACUAAGACAAGUCAUCAUGG
rnacentral:rRNA from 1 species